rnacentral:misc_RNA from 1 species
GAUGAAGAACGUAGCGAAAUGCGAUAAGUAAUGUGAAUUGCAGAAUUCAGUGAAUCAUCGAAUCUUUGAACGCACCUUGCACCCUUUGGACUGCUCCAAAGGGUAUGCUCGUUUGAGUGUCAUUGUACUCUCACACUCUCUGAUCCUUUGGAUUUGGGGAGCGGUGGACUUGGGUGCUUGCUGCUUCCUUGUGGCUCACCUGAAAUGCAUCAGUGCAUCUCUCGAUUGGACAUAGCACGGCGUGAUAAGUGUCUUCGCCGGCACCUCAUAUGAGGGUGGCCGAUCGGGAGCUCUGUGCUUUCAAACCGUCUUCGGACAACGCUGACAACUUGACCUCAAAUCGAGUAGGACUACCCGCUGAACUUAAGCAUAUCAAUAAGCGGAGGA